UACAGAGGUGGCAAGCGUUGUUCGGAAUUACUGGGCGUAAAGGGCGCGUAGGCGGCCUUCUAAGUCAGACGUGAAAUCCCCAGGCUUAACUUGGGAACUGCGUCUGAUACUGGGAGGCUUGAGUGCGGGAGAGGGAUGUGGAAUUCCAGGUGUAGCGGUGAAAUGCGUAGAUAUCUGGAGGAACACCGGUGGCGAAGGCGGCAUCCUGGACCGACACUGACACUGAGGAGCGAAAGCCAGGGGAGCAAACGGG
rnacentral:rRNA from 1 species